rnacentral:lncRNA from 1 species
GGAGGGGGCUGAAGAUACGGGGACUGGGGAAAGGAUAGGGGCCGAGGCAGAAGGAGGGGUACCGGCUGUGGGACACUAAGGGAUGUAAGCUGGGGACACAGCAUAGAAGGGACACGGAGGUCUUGGCAUACUAAGGGUGUAGGCCUAGGGAAGGGGUAGCAGGGAUGGAGACUGGACCCCACAGGGAGGAGAGACACUGAGGCUGUGAGACACGGAGUGUUGAGAUGGAGGCAGUGGGGUCACCAAGGCUUUGGGGGCUCCAAAGGAGUGUCCUCCUAAGUGGGUGGGGAUUUUGGAGGAGGGAGCCGGAUGGAUGAGGGUGAAAAAGGGGUGCCCAGGCAGGUUACUGUGAUGGAGAAGAGUAUGGAGGUCGAGGUAGGAGGCCAGGCCCUAGAUGGGGGAGCGACUGAGACUGGAAGCUGACUUGAGACUCUGGGCAUCUCAGGAGGUCACUGAGGUCGUGGUGGUUGUCACGGAGGCCAAGGGUCACGGAGAAGGUUACAGACCGGAGUGGCCAUGGAGGUGCGGAGCUGGGGUCCUGCUGAGUAGCGGAGGGUGGAAGGAGAUAAUGGUUGGGGGACCCAGGAGUGCAUGGACGCACAGGGUUACUCGAAGGUUUGGGGGUGGCUUCUCCGGAGGCUCUUACAUUGUUUGGGGGCGCUGUUUUUGUACUAAACGCCUGCAGCUGUGCCACGAUGCGACAAACGGCUGCCCCCAUCAGCGCAUAACAGCCUG